ACGGACUCAACCUCUCUUAACCUCCUAUGAAUCUUCGCGCUACCCUCCGGGUUGUCCACGCCCUCACGUUCGAAUCCACGAACGCCUCCACUUCGAAUCCACGAAGCUUCAAUCACGCCGAAUCCACGACGCCACUCGAAUCCACGAGCCCACGAUUCGAAUCCACGAACCGCCUUCAAUCACGCCGAAUCCACGAUGCCGUUCAUGAAGAGCAUCAUGAUUAUGGUGAUCCUUCGCUUAGGAGUAUCGUAGAAAACCAGGGAAUAGAACUACAAGCGAAGCGGAGAUCAAAUCGAUAUAUAGAGAAUGCGAAACGAUAUCUCGAUUUGAUCUAAAGAGGCUAAUUUGUAUAAAAUAGGUUUAGAAUGAAAUCCGAGCCUCU
rnacentral:lncRNA from 1 species